rnacentral:piRNA from 1 species
UUGGCCGUACGUAAUAUGAAU